CUGGGUAACGGCGCAAAUUUUUUGGCGCUGAUACACUAACACCAGUGCCUCUGCCGGAAUCAGAACAGUGUGUUGGCACUAUUGCGCCGAUUGCGCCUCUUCAGGCAGCUUAACGCAGUGGUUUUCUCAGAGUCUCUUUGCCGAUUCAUACGACUGCAAGAAUGAUAGAAUACAAGGUGGUGUUACUAGAACAGCUGAUUGGAUAUUUCCACAACUUUAUAUAGACGCGCCUUGACUGUAAUUUUGGCGGACAUUUACUGGCAAAUUGGCGCGUUUUCAUCUUGCUUAUUCCUGGACAUUUUACAAGAGCUUAUUCGUCCAAGCAUCGCUGUGAGUUCCACGAGCGUUUCACUGCAUUUUCAUCUACUAAUCACUAAUUUUGCGUAUUCCUGCACAUUUUACAAGAGCUUAUUCAUCCAAGCGUCGCUGUGAGUUCCUCGAGCGUUUCACUGCAUUUUCAUCAUGCCAAAUAAAAAGAGCGAAAUAUGGCUGCACUUCUCCGAUGAGAAAGAAAAAAAGUAAAGUGUAAGCUAUGUGGUCAGCAGAUAUCCGUGGCAAACAAAUCAACGUGCAGCCUGAUUCGCCAUAUGAAUAGGCGGCAUCCCUUCCAAAAAAUUGCUAGGCAGGAGCAUUUGGAAACAGAAGUUGACACGAAGGCAGCAGCAACGCAGGUAGAAGCACCACAGAGAGCAGCAACGCAAGUAGAAUCACAACAAGCAGCAACACAGCGAAAUACACCGCGAGCAUCAUACGCACCGCAAGGAUCGGUAUCACAGUACCUACACAAACCACUUCCAGUCAAAAAGCAGCAACAAAUCGAUGACCAGGUAAUUAAAAUGAUUGUCCGCGAGUACCAUCCAUUUAGCAUCGUCGAAGACGUGGAAUUUAAAUAGCUAGUAUGUCUCCUAAAUCCGAACUAUAAACUCCCAACUAGGAAAACAGUGUCAUCCUCGUUAAUACCGGCCAUGUAUAAUGUAACCAUGGAGGUGGUGAAAAGGCGGUUAGAGAGGGCGUAUGCUAUAUGUGUGACGAUGGACGGUUGGACUUCCCGUGCAGGAGAUAGCUUCUUUAGUGUGACUGCCCACUACAUUGUGGAAGAGGAUAAAAAAACAUUCCUUGCGUCGGAUUUGUUAGCUUGCUCCUCAUAUUUAGAUAGGCACACAAGUGAAAAUAUUACAAAAAAAAUUUACGAAAUUUUUUGCGAAUGGGGAGUUAGUAACAAGAUAAUUGUUAUAGUUAGUGAUAAUGCAGCUAAUAUGAAAGCAGCAGUUCGUGGGGGAGGUUGGCGGCAUUGGGUAAAAUGGCAAUGUGGUUUAAAAGAAAUAGAAUCAGUUUUGCAUAAAAUAAAAGUAAUUGUUAGGUUUUUUUUUCAAAAAGCACUUACGCUUCUUCAAAACUUAAAGCAACAUUGCAGGCUAUGCAGCAACCAGUUUUGAAACUUAUUAAUGACGUACCUACUCGCUGGAACUCAACAUAUGAAAUGUUGAAACGCGUAUUAGUUUUAAAAGAUGCAGUGAUUUCCACUUUAGCUUUAGUUAAGUCGUCGAUGCUGGCCAGAGAUGACGAAUUACAAACAAUUAAUUUUUUAAGUAACGAAGAGUGGUUGGUAGCAGAGCAAUCAAUGAAAGUUUUAGAAAUUUUUUAAGUUGUUACGACAUUAAUUUGUGUCGAAAAGCACAUAAGUGCAUCUUGCGUAAUCCUGUACAUUAAGCAAUUAAGCAAACAUUUAAAAACCUCCAAUACCUCGCAACUAAGCCCCGAUGUAAACAAUUUGGUUGCAAAACUGUUAAACGAACUUAACAAUAGGUUUAAAGACUUAUGGCCUUAUUCAUAAAAAAUAAAGUAGGUUUAAAGAGCUUUAUAAAUUGACGUUUUCAUA